rnacentral:rRNA from 1 species
GACGAACGCUGGCGGCGUGCCUAAUACAUGCAAGUUGAGCGCUGAAGGUUGGUACUUGUACCAACUGGAUGAGCAGCGAACGGGUGAGUAACGCGUGGGGAAUCUGCCUUUGAGCGGGGGACAACAUUUGGAAACGAAUGCUAAUACCGCAUAAAAACUUUAAACACAAGUUUUAAGUUUGAAAGAUGCAAUUGCAUCACUCAAAGAUGAUCCCGCGUUGUAUUAGCUAGUUGGUGAGGUAAAGGCUCACCAAGGCGAUGAUACAUAGCCGACCUGAGAGGGUGAUCGGCCACAUUGGGACUGAGACACGGCCCAAACUCCUACGGGAGGCAGCAGUAGGGAAUCUUCGGCAAUGGACGAAAGUCUGACCGAGCAACGCCGCGUGAGUGAAGAGGGUUGUCGGAUCGUAAAACUCUGUUGGUAGAGAAGAACGUUGGUGAGAGUGGAAAGCCCAUCAAGUGACGGUAACUACCCAGAAAGGGACGGCUAACUACGUG